rnacentral:rRNA from 1 species
GACGAACGCUGGCGGCGUGCCUAAUACAUGCAAGUUGAGCGCUGAAGGUUGGUACUUGUACCAACUGGAUGAGCAGCGAACGGGUGAGUAACGCGUGGGGAAUCUGCCUUUGAGCGGGGGACAACAUUUGGAAACGAAUGCUAAUACCGCAUAAAAACUUUAAACACAAGUUUUAAGUUUGAAAGAUGCAAUUGCAUCACUCAAAGAUGAUCCCGCGUUGUAUUAGCUAGUUGGUGAGGUAAAGGCUCACCAAGGCGAUGAUACAUAGCCGACCUGAGAGGGUGAUCGGCCACAUUGGGACUGAGACACGGCCCAAACUCCUACGGGAAGCAGCAGUAGGGAAUCUUCGGCAAGGGACGGAAGUCUGACCGAGCAACGCCGCGUGAGUGAAGAAGGUUUUCGGAUCGUAAAACUCUGUUGGUAGGGAAGAACGUUGGUGAGAGUGGAAAGCUCAUCAAGUGACGGUAACUACCCAGAAAGGGACGGCUAACUACGUG